rnacentral:rRNA from 1 species
UACGUAGGGGGCAAGCGUUGUCCGGAAUCAUUGGGCGUAAAGCGCGUGUAGGCGGUUCGGUAAGUCCGCUGUGAAAGUCCAGGGCUCAACCCUGGAAAGCCGGUGGAUACUGUCGAGCUAGAGUCCGGAAGAGGCGAGUGGAAUUCCUGGUGUAGCGGUGAAAUGCGCAGAUAUCAGGAGGAACACCAAUGGCGAAGGCAGCUCGCUGGGACGGUACUGACGCUGAGACGCGAAAGCGUGGGGAGCAAACAGG